GAUGAACGCUGGCGGCGUGCCUAAUACAUGCAAGUCGAGCGAACAGACGAGGAGCUUGCUCCUCUGACGUUAGCGGCGGACGGGUGAGUAACACGUGGAUAACCUACCUAUAAGACUGGGAUAACUUCGGGAAACCGGAGCUAAUACCGGAUAAUAUAUUGAACCGCAUGGUUCAAUAGUGAAAGGCGGUUUUGCUGUCACUUAUAGAUGGAUCCGCGCCGCAUUAGCUAGUUGGUAAGGUAACGGCUUACCAAGGCAACGAUGCGUAGCCGACCUGAGAGGGUGAUCGGCCACACUGGAACUGAGACACGGUCCAGACUCCUACGGGAGGCAGCAGUAGGGAAUCUUCCGCAAUGGGCGAAAGCUUGACGGAGCAACGCCGCGUGAGUGAUGAAGGUCUUCGGAUCGUAAAUCUCUGUUAUUAGGGAAGAACAAAUGUGUAAGUAACUAUGCACGUCUUGACGGUACCUAAUCAGAAAGCCACGGCUAACUACGUG
rnacentral:rRNA from 1 species